UACGAAGGGGGCUAGCGUUGCUCGGAAUUACUGAGCGUAAAGGGAGCGUAGGCGGACAUUUAAGUCAGGGGUGAAAUCCCAGAGCUCAACUCUGGAACUGCCUUUGAUAUUGGGUGUCUUGAGUGUGAUAGAGGUAUGUGGAACUCCGAGUGUAGGGGUGAAAUUCGUAGAUAUUCGGAAGAACACCAGUGGCGAAGGCGACAUACUGGAUCAUUACUGACGCUGAGGCUCGAAAGCGUGGGGAGCAAACAGG
rnacentral:rRNA from 1 species